GUUAAAAUCGUCAGUUUCUUGGAGUCUGUGACACUGCAUGUCCAUAUCUUAGUGAUUCAAAAUCUUUUUUUAAGAGAACAUUUCAUGUAAUAAAAUGGUUGCCAUAAAUCCGGUAAAUGUAAUUCGUUUACUUAUGAUUACAUUCAGCGGGACGGAUGACAAUUAAACACCAAUUAAUAACCGUCAACAAGAACGUCACGAUAUAUUAAAAGAUGCGCUGACCAAAUUCUGUGGAAUUUGUGGACGACAUAUUUUCACCUAUUGACGAGGAAGUUGCAGAACCUGUAGAAGAUCUUGUGUCGCACAAGAAGGAGGUAUUGUGACGUUAGAAUACAAAGGAAAUGCUGUUGCAUAUUGGAAAAGUGGAAAAAGAAAACAACUUUGAUUAGAAAAUGUGUAGCAUAAGUUCCAAACAGUUCAAUCGAUUCAGCAAUUGUACAGAUACCAGGACCAGCAUCAAUCCUCCUAACAUAACCCGAUGUAUUAUCACCCUUCGUCGGGACAGAAAUCAAGACUUUAUUUCGAGGAGGCAACUCAUAUGAUGAGAAGAUGGGAGUGCGUAAUUUCUCUUCAUCAAAUUCCACAAGGCAUGGAAAAUUCUUUCUAAACCUCACUGUACCUCGUCGUUUUUCCAAAAAUGACGUCCCCAAAAUUCCGGCCUCCCUAACAGGAAAAUCAUCUUCUACCACCUGAAAAUGUACAAGGAUGCCAUGCACGCAAAUAAUUACAUCACUCCAUGUCCGGACCGUACCUGUGCUAAUACCAGUUAAGUUGCGAGCCGGUGUCUACAAGGAAUUUAGCUAGACCAUUCCGAAAAUGUUCGUGCUCUAAAGGAAUAAACGGUGAUUGUGUGACCUGUUUCAAACUGAUUUCGCGGCAAACGCGGUGGAUGCGGCGCGAGAGAUAAGGGGUUCCCUUCGUGCUGCGCCCGUCGACGAAACCCCCUUUGAAUUUAAAGGGUUUUCCUGAUUCCUAGAAGUUGAAGGAAUUGAUGGUCGCGAUGUCUUCCAACCAUGAUUUGCAUCACCUACCACAUUCCUGUAGAUGUGGUGCUGCAUCCGACUUCGAAUCAACGCGAGCAAAUAAACUUUAUCAUCCCCUUUAACCAAAGAAUCAGCAAAUCUACACUGUACAAUGAAGUGGCUCACCGAGGACGGUUUACCAUCAAAAUGAGGUGUAUGGUCCCAUCCGUCGGCGACCCGUUGAGCAGGUUAACCUUAGUUUGUGAGAAGGUCCUCAGGUACUUGGGUCGAUGGUCUCCAGCUCCGCAACAGGUACUCCAAUAAAAUCCGUCUGCAGUCAGCUGCUUCAAAUUACAAAAGUGAUCCGAUAAUAUCGUGGACGAGGUGCGUGUGAUUCCGGUGGAUGGCUUGCACGGAAGCCGAAAUCACCUGUCUCCGGUAAUUACCCUUUCGCCCUUGGGGAAACCGCGUCAAAACCCAAGAAGGAGAAGUUGCACAAUUUUAACUUUGUCCACUUAUUUGUAUUGUUCAAUAAAAUAGUUUGUAAAGUA